UACGUAGGGGGCAAGCGUUGUCCGGAUUUAUUGGGCGUAAAGAGCGUGUAGGCGGCCAAGCAGGUCCGCUGUGAAAACUCGAGGCUCAACCUCGAGACGUCGGCGGAAACCCUCUGGCUAGAGUCCGGAAGAGGAGAGUGGAAUUCCUGGUGUAGCGGUGAAAUGCGCAGAUAUCAGGAGGAACACCGAUGGCGAAGGCAGGUCUCUGGGCCACUACUGACGCUGAGAAGCGAAAGCAUGGGGAGCGAACAGG
rnacentral:rRNA from 1 species